GAUGAACGCUGGCGGUAUGCUUAACACAUGGAAGUCGAACGGACUCUUCGGAGUUAGUGGCGGACGGGUGAGUAACGCGUGAGAAUCUGGCUUUGGGUUCGGGACAACCACUGGAAACGGUGGCUAAUACCGGAUGUGCCGAGAGGUAAAAGAGAAAUUGCCUGAAGAUGAGCUCGCGUCUGAUUAGCUAGUUGGUGAGGUAAAGGCUCACCAAGGCAGCGAUCAGUAGCUGGUCUGAGAGGAUGACCAGCCACACUGGGACUGAGACACGGCCCAGACUCCUACGGGAGGCAGCAGUGGGGAAUUUUCCGCAAUGGGCGAAAGCCUGACGGAGCAAUACCGCGUGAGGGAGGAAGGCUCUUGGGUUGUAAACCUCUUUUCUUAGGGAAGAACAAAAUGACGGUACCUAAGGAAUCAGCAUCGGCUAACUCCGU
rnacentral:rRNA from 1 species